GACGAACGCUGGCGGCGUGCUUAACACAUGCAAGUCGAACGAUGAAGAAGAGAAACGCGAACUUCGGUUCAAAUUUCACUUCGGAUUAGUGGCAGACGGGUGAGUAACGCGUGAGCAACCUACCUCUUACAAAGGGAUAGCCUCGGGAAACCGUGAUUAAUACCAUAUGACACCUUCAUAAGGCAUCUUAAGAAUGUUAAAGCUACGGCGGUAAGAGAUGGGCUCGCGUCCCAUUAGCUAGUUGGUGAGGUAACGGCCCACCAAGGCGACGAUGGGUAACCGGCCUGAGAGGGUGAACGGUCACAUUGGAACUGAGACACGGUCCAAACUCCUACGGGAGGCAGCAGUGGGGAAUAUUGCACAAUGGAGGGAACUCUGAUGCAGCGACGCCGCGUGAGCGAUGAAGGAAUUCGUGUCGUAAAGCUCUGUUCUAUGGGAAGAAAAGGACGGUACCAGAGGAGAAAGCCCCGGCUAACUACGUG
rnacentral:rRNA from 1 species